rnacentral:rRNA from 1 species
ACCUGCAAAUCUUAGAGUACCAAUCUUAUCAGAUUUUGGAAGCUAAGCAGGUUAAACCUAGCUGGAACUUGAAUGGGAGACCACCAGAAAAUACCAGGAUCUUCAGGUA